rnacentral:lncRNA from 1 species
UCUUUUCUUAAAAUCAUAAACUGAAUAAAUAACUAUUUAUCCUUUAAAAUUCAAUAACUAAAAAGUCUUUAAUACUUCGCAACGGACAUUAUUCAAUAAUCAAAACAGUCUUUGGCACAAGGCCUCAUCAUUAAUAUCUCAUACAAAUCCGAUCAACAUCUUAUUCAUGAAAAUUCUUUAAGCAAUACGUAAGGAAUAGAAAGACAACAUUAAAAUUCCCAUCCCGUUACGUAUCGGAGCACCUAAAGACACACACGAGAGCUAAUCCACUCACAACAGCAACUUAAACUCGAUCACCUGCAAGUUACUCAUACGAAGAGCAACAUUUUCAAGCAGAAGGGGUGAGAUUUCACAAAACAAUAAUAUCAAGCAUAUAAUUCAAUAAUUAUAUUUAACAACACAAGUAACUUCAUCUAUUAGUAAUAAUAAUUCUUCAUGUAUAAUUCUUAAUAGUCCAACCAACUUCUAAUUAUCAUUUACUUCAUAUUCAUCACAUUAUAACAUCAUCAUAUAACACGUAUUAACCAAAUCAUAACAACAUAGAUCAUCACAUCAUACUCAUAGUUCAUAUUCAACAUAACAACAUCUUAAUCUUAAUUCAUAUACGACAUAACAACAUCUUAAUUCGUAAUAACAUUUCUCCACCAAGCAUCUCAUGAAUAGAAGACAACUUAUCAACUUAACAUAACCAUCAUCAAGUACAUUUAACAACUCCUAGAUAACAUCAUGUAAUCAUCAUCACUAAUAACUUAAACUACACAAUAUAAUCAUCACUUAAUAAUAAUAAUUAUAUACAUCAUAACAUAAACAUCUUCUUAUAAUAAUAUAACAACAACAACAUAUUCAUCAUUUUAUAAUAAUAUAACAACA